rnacentral:rRNA from 1 species
AUUGAACGCUGGCGGCAUGCCUUACACAUGCAAGUCGAACGGCAGCGGGGGAGAAGCUUGCUUUUCCUGCCGGCGAGUGGCGAACGGGUGAGUAAUACAUCGGAACGUGCCCUGUAGUGGGGGAUAACUAGUCGAAAGAUUAGCUAAUACCGCAUACGACCUGAGGUUGAAAGUGGGGGACCGCAAGGCCUCAUGCUAUAGGAGCGGCCGAUGUCUGAUUAGCUAGUUGGUGGGGUAAAGGUCCACCAAGGCGACGAUCAGUAGCUGGUCUGAGAGGACGAUCAGCCACACUGGGACUGAGACACGGCCCAGACUCCUACGGGAGGCAGCAGUGGGGAAUUUUGGACAAUGGGCGAAAGCCUGAUCCAGCAAUGCCGCGUGUGUGAAGAAGGCCUUCGGGUUGUAAAGCACUUUUGUCCGGAAAGAAAUGGCUCUGGUUAAUACCUGGGGUCGAUGACGGUACCGGAAGAAUAAGGACCGGCUAACUACGUGCCAGCCGCCGCAGUAACAC